CCUGCGGAAAAGAGGAAGUGGGGAUUGCACCCUACUUUGCUUCUUUAUGAUGUAUAUGGGUAAAAUAUCACAGUCUCCCAAGAAAAACAGUAUCUUUCCUCUAAGGGAUGGGUCUUGGUCUCUAGAAGGUUUUGCAAUGUAUGUCUGUGGAAUGGGAGCGUGGCAGUGAAGGGAGGCCAAGUGCAGAGAAACAGAAGAGACGGGGAAAUGCUAGGUUCACUAGCCAUUAGAAACAAUGGCAUAACAGCAACAGCUAUCACACCCAUACAAUGCUGGCAUCCUACUGCUGACACAAGGAAAUUGGUGAUAUGGAUUGGAAAGAAACAGCAUGUAUACACUAUUGUAGACUUCUGGCAUACAUUGGCUUUUUAAGAGCACUCUCCUUUCAAGAGGAUCAAAGGAUUUCAUGUGCUUAUUUUGGGUGAGGAAAAGAACUGAGAACCAGAGAUCUCGGCUUGAGACUGUUAACAUACCAGGAGAAAAUACUGCAUUUAUAUAGCAAGUUUAUCCGAAUUUGUGUUAGAUCGGGUCGCGGUAUAUCAGGUUAGAAGUGUACUAAAUUAAUAAAGAACCUCAUAAAUGUAGCCACCUCUGAAGUAGAGGGCAGCAGUGGGUACUAAGUACAUGGCAGUGGGUAGAGGCUGGCAAUGGGUACUAAGUACAUGGCCGAACAAUAUUCUCAUAAACUGCAACCAGCCAGUAGUAUGAGCAAUAUGCUCAUGCAUACAGUAUAAAUUAGGAGUAAAUCCAUUUAAGUUAAUGAUGUUUCACUGUUGCCACCUCAGCGUAAAUAAGAUGGAGAAUCAGGGCUCACACUGCCUGAUCAUACUCCCAUUGAUUGACAUUAAAGGCAAAAAUUUCAUUGGGAGUAGAACUGUGCCCCAAAAACUCACAACAAAAAAUAAUACUCUUGCUUAAUUACAAGCUAUUUUCUUCAAAUACAGCCGAUGCACGAGUUAGAAAGGAAAGAUGAAGGGUUAUUAACAAGGAGACAAAUCCGAUUAGUUUUCUUUUCUAAGUGACCUAUAACUGAAAAGCAGUUUGACCAAUUUCCUCUAGACUUUCUAUAAACAAUCUCCUUUGCCUUCAGAGAAAUAUGGCAAUAUUCAAGCCAAACCAUUUUUCCAAGCCAAAGUUACCGGGAGGCUAAAAUAGGCUUUAUAUUGGAAGCUGACCGCUGCCUUAGCUAUGGAGAGGUAAUUGUCCCUCCCACUUCCCCCCUUAACUAUAGUAUUCCAAUAAUAGUCCAUUGAAGUGGAUGCUUCAUUUAUGGAGGAAAAAAGCUUAACAUAUCUUUCAUUGCUGAUGCCUGAAUAUAUUAAAUUGCAAUAUAAAUAAAGUGAAAAAAGGUUACACACUGUAGAGAAAAUUAUCUGUACCGUAUUCCUUCAAACUUUUCUGUUUUGAAAUGGCUUGAAACAUUUCAUAUUCCAUCUGCCUGAGAAAGACUGACUAAAAUUUUACUCAUCCACUAAAAGAUUGAACUGUCACAAAGUGAUGGAUAGCUUUUCUAUAUUCUCUGUAGAGCAUCUAAAUACCAUAGACUCCAAGUGCUCUUGAUUAAAGGGCAACAUACUCAUUUAGUGUCCCAUCACUGACUGAGCUUCAAAUCACUAACAUUCACCUACACUUGUGCUUUCACAAAAUACUUGACCAACAUGUAUAAAAUACUAAUUACUUUAGUCACUUAGAUGGAGGUAUAAAAUGCCCUAAAGCAAAGCUCUAUUAAACUGCAUAAGGGUUUGAAUUUAAAAUAAAAAAUGCAGCCAAAGAGAGAAUAAGAUUUUAAUUACAUUUCUAGUCCUCAAUCUCUCAAAACCUAAAGGAAAAAGAGCCAUAAAUUUCAUGACACAAGAAAUCCUUUUUCACUGGUACAGCUUAUUUAAAAAAUAAAACAAAAAAACCCCCUUGAAUUUACUCUUUUUUUUUUUAAUUAUUAAACUUUCAAACACAGAAACAGACUGACAAGCUUUAAUAAAAGCUUUGGUUUCUUCUCAAUAGAUUUCAGAUGUCAAAUGUAUUUUUCCAUUUAAAAACUUUCAAGCACUUUGCUGAACAAAGUUCUUAUAACUUACAGAUAUUUUAAGAAAACACCAUUUUCUAGGAGGGAAAAGCCUUAAUAAAAUGUAAUUGGGAAGCAACUGUGGAUAGCUUCCCACAAUCCCAGGAAAGCUUGAUUCAAUUUGCAUUUGCCACAAACCUCCCUUCAGCUUAAAUGACUGCAAAAGAUCUCUCACUUUUAGAUUUCAUUUGGUCGGUUGGGACUAUUUCUUGUUUAUAACAUUUGACAGUUUUCUUUAUUACGAAAAUUGUAACUCAGAGGCAAAUGCAGGAGCUGAGUAGCAUACUAAAGAAGCUCUGCAGUUAAAAAACUUGGGACACGUAGAAGAAAAAAGUAAAGUAUAUGUUACGACAUACAUUACCAGGAGUAAGACUGAGCCCAGUAGACAGAGAAUAGUUAAGGUUCUUUGAAGAAAAUAUAAUUUCUCCUGAAUUGUUACAUUUAAAAAAUAAAAGCAUAAGGAGUCAUCUUAGUGAUUAAAAAUUAUUCAAUUAAUAAAUUAGGACUAAAUAUAUCUGACUAUGUUUCUGUGAACAAAAAAACACAUUUCACUAUUCUAGUCUAAUCAAGGACUUAGAGGCUAAAUUCCAUAAUAAAACUGUUGAAAUCUAUCAUUUUACAUACUGCAGUUCUUUUAAGGAAACAAAGUACAGGAAGAAAAGGAGGAUCACAAAUUGUUGAUGUGCCCUCAAUGUCGUAACGUUUCUCAGAGGGGAUAUCAAAUAAUGGAUUGCAACCCAGGAAAGAGAAGAGAGAGAACACUAACUCUAAUAUCAUAGUCCAUCUGCCCACUAAAAAGCUUUAUGUAAGAUAGCAGUAGAGAGAUAAGGAAAGAGAAAGCAGAAGAGUAUUGAUUAUUAGGACUGGGUAGAAAACAAAAAAAAUCAAUGUCAUGAAAAUCUGAGAUUUUGACAUUGGUUAGGUCCAAUGCAGAAUGAAAAUGAGACCUGUUGAAAUUUUUCAUCAAGAGAGCAAGCCACCUCAAAGUAGCUAAUAGCCAUGGGACUAGGGCACUUACCUGGAAUGUGGGAGUCCCUGCUCCAAAUUAGGUAGGGAGCCCUAAUCACCUAACUAUUUGGAUAUUCUCAGAUGGUGCUCAUUCUCUCUCUCU